AUUAAACCGAUGAGGGAGAAGAGUACCUCUACAUGAUUCUUUAGAGAGAGCUGCGAUGGUGGGAUGCAGUAAGAUAGUGUUUUGGGAAUGGACUCCUGAGGGCGUGAGGAAAUAGCUGUUAGCUAGAGUAUUGCACGACGUAAGACAUACGUUAGUUGUCAGGGAUAUGAUAGUAUCCUGUAAGAGCAUGAGUAUUCAUGAAUUCAAGGUGGCACCGCGGAAUAAAAUUUUCGUCCUUGAU
rnacentral:ncRNA from 1 species